rnacentral:rRNA from 1 species
CCUACGGGAGGCAGCAGUGGGGAAUAUUGCACAAUGGGGGAAACCCUGAUGCAGCGACGCCGCGUGAGUGAAGAAGUAAUUCGUUAUGUAAAGCUCUAUCAGCAGGGAAGAAAAUGACGGUACCUGAGUAAGAAGCCCCGGCUAACUACGUGCCAGCAGCCGCGGUAAUACGUAGGGGGAGAGCGUUAUCCGGAUUUACUGGGUGGAAAGGGAGCGUAGACGGCAGUGCAAGUCUGGAGUGAAAGGCGGGGGCUCAACCCCCGGACUGCUCUGGAAACUGGACGGCUGGAGUGCAGGAGAGGUUAGUGGAAUUCCUAGUGUAGCGGUGAAAUGCGUAGAUAUUAGGAGGAACACCAGUGGCGAAGGCGGCUUACUGGACUGUAACUGACGUUGAGGCUCGAAAGCGUGGGGAGCAAACAGGAUUAGAUACCCCGGUAGUC